rnacentral:rRNA from 1 species
GACGAACGCUGGCGGCGUGCUUAACACAUGCAAGUCGAACGGAAAGGCUCCAGCUUGCUGGAGUACUCGAGUGGCGAACGGGUGAGUAACACGUGGGUAAUCUGCCCUGCACUCUGGGAUAAGCCUGGGAAACUGGGUCUAAUACUGGAUAUGACCUUUCUCCUUAUGGGGUUUGGUGGAAAGUUUUUCGGUGUAGGAUGAGCCCGCGGCCUAUCAGCUUGUUGGUGGGGUGAUGGCCUACCAAGGCGACGACGGGUAGCCGGCCUGAGAGGGUGAGCGGCCACAUUGGUACUGAGAUACGGCCCGGACUCCUACGGGAGGCAGCAGUGGGGACUAUUGCACAAUGGGCGGAAGCCUGAUGCAGCGACGCCGCGUGAGGGAUGACGGCCUUCGGGUUGUAAACCUCUUGCAGCAGGGACGAAGCGUAAGUGACGGUACCUGCAGAAGAAGCACCGGCUAACUACGUGCCAGCAGCCGCGGUAA